GGUCAAGUUACUAAGGGCAUACGGAGGAUGCCUUGGCGUAGGAAGGCGAUGAAGGACGUGGCUAGCUGCGAUAAGCUUCGGGGAGUCGCUAAACAGGCUUUGAUCCGGAGAUUUCCGAAUGGGGAAACCCAUCCCGAUGAAGUCGGGAUAUCUGCACCUGAAUACAUAGGGUGUUGAAGCGAACCCGGGGAAGUGAACCAUCUCAGUACCCGGAGGAAAAGAAAACAACCGUGAUUCUCCUAGUAGCGGCGAGCGAACGGGGAACAGCCUAAACCGCAUACAUGUGAUAGCUCGUGUGCGUUGUGUAUGCGGUGUCGUGGGGCCUGACAUGAUCCUGGCACGACAGGGUCGAAGAGUUACAAAAGGCAACUCUAGUUGAAUAUCCUGGAAAGGGUAACCAUAGAAGGUGACAGUCCUGUAAGCGAAAGG
rnacentral:rRNA from 1 species